rnacentral:rRNA from 1 species
GGGAUGUUUAAGUCAGUUGUGAAAGGUUGCGGCGCAACCGUAAAAUUGCAGUGGAUACUGGAGAGCUUGAGGGCAGUUGAGGCAGGCGGAAUUCGUGGUGUAGCGGUGAAAUGCUUAGAUAUCACGAAGAACUCCGAUUGCGAAGGCAGCCUGCUAAGCUGCAACUGACAUUGAGGCUCGAAAGUGUGGGUAUCAAACA